rnacentral:rRNA from 1 species
CUAAGCCAUGCGAGUCAAAUGUUCUUCGUGAACAUGGCGUGCUGCUCAGUAACACGUGGAUAACCUGCCCUUUAGGACUGGCAUAACCCCGGGAAACUGGGGAUAAUUCCGGAUAGUUCAUGGUAGCUGGAAUGCUCCAUGAUCGAAAGCUAUUGCGCCUAAGGAUGGGUCUGCGGUCUAUCAGGUAGUAGUGGGUGUAAUGUACCUACUAGCCGACGACGGAUACGGGUUGUGGGAGCAAGAGCCCGGAGAUGGAUUCUGAGACAUGAAUCCAGGCCCUACGGGGCGCAGCAGGCGCGAAAACUUUACAAUGCGGGAAACCGCGAUAAGGGGACACCGAGUGCCAGCAUCUUAUGUUGGCUGUCCGCAUGUAUAAAUCACAUGUGUUAGCAAGGGCCGGGCAAGACCAGUGCCUGCCGCCGCGGUAACACCGGCGGCCCGAGUGGUGGCCACUAUUAUUGGGUCUAAAGGGUCCGUAGCCGGUUUGGUCAGUCUUCCGGGAAAUCUGACGGCUUAACCGUUAGGCUUUCGGGGGAUACUACCAGGCUUGGGACCGGGAGAGGUAAGAGGUACUACGGGGGUAGGAGUGAAAUCUUGUAAUCCUCGUGGGACCACCAGUGGCGAAGGCGUCUUACCAGGACGGGUCCGACGGUGAGGGACGAAAGCUGGGGGCACGAACCGGAUUAGAUACCCGGGUAGUCCCAGCCGUAAACUAUGCUCGCUAGGUGUCAGGGACGGUGCGACCGUUUCUGGUGCCGCAGGGAAGCCGUGAAGCGAGCCACCUGGGAAGUACGGUCGCAAGGCUGAAACUUAAAGGAAUUGGCGGGGGAGCACUACAACGGGUGGAGCCUGCGGUUUAAUUGGACUCAACGCCGGAAAACUCACCGGGGGCGACAGCAAUAUGUAGG